rnacentral:rRNA from 1 species
UACAGAGGUGGCAAGCGUUGUUCGGAAUUACUGGGCGUAAAGGGCGCGUAGGCGGUUCGUUAAGUCCUGUGUGAAAUCCCCCGGCUCAACUGGGGAACUGCACAGGAAACUAGCGGGCUUGAGUUCGGGAGAGGGAAGCGGAAUUCCGGGUGUAGCGGUGAAAUGCGUAGAUAUCCGGAGGAACACCGGUGGCGAAGGCGG